AUUCCCCCUAGUAACUGCGAGUGAAGCGGGAAAAGCUCAAAUUUAAAAUCUGGCGGUCUCUGGCCGUCCGAGUUGUAGUCUGGAGAAGUGUUUUCCGCAUCGGACCGUGUACAAGUUUCCUGGAAUGGAGCGUCAUAGAGGGUGAGAAUCCCGUCUUUGACACGGACUACCGAUGCUUUGUGAUGCGCUCUCGAAGAGUCGAGUUGUUUGGGAAUGCAGCUCAAAAUGGGUGGUGAAUUCCAUCUAAAGCUAAAUAUUGGCGAGAGACCGAUAGCGAACAAGUACCGUGAGGGAAAGAUGAAAAGCACUUUGGAAAGAGAGUUAAACAGUACGUGAAAUUGUUGAAAGGGAAACGCUUGAAGUCAGUCGCGUCUGCCGGAACUCAGCCUUGCAAUCUUGCUUGGUGUAUUUUCUGGCUGACGGGCCAGCAUCAAUUUUGAUCGGCGGAAAAGGGUCAGAGAAAUGUGGCACCUUCGGGUGUGUUAUAGUCUCUGAUCACAUACAUCGGUUGGGAUUGAGGAAUUCAGCAUGCCUUUAUGGUCGGGGUUCGCCCACGUUCAUGCUUAGGAUGCUUGGCGUAAUGGCUUUAAACGACCCGUCUUGAAACACGGACCAAGGAGUCUAACAUGCCCGCGAGUGUUCGGGUGGAAAACCCGUGCGCGUAAUGAAAGUGAAAGUUGGGAGCUCUGUCAUGGAGUGCACCGACGCCCGGACCAGACCUUCUGUGACGGAUCUGCGGUAGAGCGUGUAUGUUGGGACCCGAAAGAUGGUGAACUAUGCCUGAAUAGGGUGAAGCCAGAGGAAACUCUGGUGGAGGCUCGUAGCGAUUCUGACGUGCAAAUCGAUCGUCAAAUUUGGGUAUAGGGGCGAAAGACUAAUCGAACCAU
rnacentral:rRNA from 1 species